UACGAACUGUGCGAACGUUAUUCGGAAUCACUGGGCUUACAGGGUGCGUAGGCGGCUUGUUAAGUAGGGUGUGAAAGCCCCCGGCUCAACCGGGGAAUUGCGCCCUAAACUGGCGAGCUGGAGUGAGAUAGGGGUGUGUGGAACUUCCGGUGGAGCGGUGAAAUGUGUUGAUAUCGGAAGGAACGCCGGUGGCGAAAGCGACACACUGGGUCUCCACUGACGCUGAGGCACGAAAGCUAGGGUAGCGAACGGG
rnacentral:rRNA from 1 species